rnacentral:rRNA from 1 species
CCUACGGGCGGCAGCAGUGGGGAAUAUUGCGCAAUGGGCGAAAGCCUGACGCAGCGACGCCGCGUGAGGGAUGAAGGUCUUCGGAUCGUAAACCUCUGUUAGCAGGGAAGAACGGUCACUGUGCUAAUCAGCAGUGAAUUGACGGUAACUGCAAAGGAAGCACCGGCUAACUACGUGCCAGCAGCCGCGGUAAUACGGAGGGUGCGAGCGUUAAUCGGAAUUACUGGGCGUAAAGCGCGCGUAGGCGGUAUGGCAAGUCAAGGGUGAAAUCCCCGCGCUCAACGUGGGAACUGCCUUUGAAACUGGCAGACUAGAGUGUGUGAGAGGGUAGUGGAAUUCCAGGUGUAGGAGUGAAAUGCGUAGAUAUCUGGAGGAACAUCAGUGGCGAAGGCGACUAUCUGGCACAUAACUGACGCUGAGGAGCGAAAGCGUGGGGAGCAAACAGGAUUAGAUACCCUUGUAGUC